UUGGACACUUUCGAAUAUGGAUUUUUUUAAUUCGAAAUAUGAUUCAAAUCUGUUUGAUGUCUUUGGGACUAUUACCAAGCAAUAGUUUUCCCUCCAUUUGGUUGAAAUUAUUUUUCAAACAGACCGUUUAUUGCUUGGCAGGACGCGAAAAUACAUCGAAUAAAUCAAUAAAAUAUACAUAACGUAUCAGAACAUUUGGUCUGUAAGCAUUGUUUCUACAGUUCAUAAAUUUCAAAGGGUUGAUCAAUUCAUUCAAAAUAUAUCAACGUAGCAUAUACAAUCGAAUAUUUGUGUCGUUAUACAUUAUAAAUGACCAUUUCACCCAAAUAAAGGAUUGAUGGUCCUUUUUUUAGGCUAUUUAUAUAGCAAUAUCACGCUGCUCAUAAUACCAAAGGUAGCACGGAACCAUCUUCAAACGCAUAAAUUUAUUGAAAUCAUGUCUGAUAUAGUAUACUACAGUAUUGGUACAAAGUAGUUUUCUAAAUAAACCUGGAAUUUGAAAUGCAAUUUUGUUUUAGAUAAAAAUGUCCAAAGUAGCCCCCAUCUGGUUCUAUAUGAGAUGUGUCCGAUUGGUGUAUGAACAACUUUUUUGUUUAUUGAUGGAUUUAGUUCAAAUUUUGCAUACAUCCUACAUACAUACUCACAAUUAUUAUGUGUAAAAAUUGUGGAAAUCCAUUCACUACUCUGGGAGUUAUAAUGUCAUAAAGUUGAAAAAUCAUGAAAAAGUGCAAAAAGAAGCCCCGCACGACGGUACAUGC